CAAAGCAUAGCUUAAUUAGUAAAGCAUCUCCCUUACACCGAGAAACUGUCCAUGCAACUUGGACUGCCUUGA
rnacentral:tRNA from 1 species